GUGUACGUUUGUCUAUUACUUGUUUAAUAGAGAGGGAAAAGAGGGGAGAGGAGGAAAAAGAAGGAGGGAAAGACGGGAAGAAGGAAAAGGGGAGGGAAGGGGGAGGGGAGAGGAAGGGGGAGGGAACCCCAGAAGCCAGAUCUGGGCAGAGGUGCCGUGGGACCUCCGUGCUGCCCUGACCUCAAAGCAAAAUAAGAGGGCUGCACCCACAGGUCCCUCCAGCCCUGCGCUCAGCCCAGGCAAGCCCCAAGGUGACCCAGUCCUGCCUCCAGCCAGCCCUGCCCCCCCAAGCAGCGCAGCUGUGCCACACAGAGAGAAGAGGGGCCUGGGACCGUGCUCUCCCCCUCCCAGCAGCUCGAACUGAUUAGCCUCCUGGGGGAGAGGGGAGGACAGGGUCUGGUCAGCCGCCCAGCUCCACGCUGAGGACUUGGUGGAGGGAGGCUUGAUUAAAUAAUUACACAGAACCCACUGAAUAAUCACGCCGGCUCCAGAAAUAAGGAGUCCCUUCUGAGGAGGCCCCAUUACCGAUUUGGGGGCCUGUGCGGGUGUCUGUCUCCUGCCAGUGAGAAAAUUACCCACAUAAGGCCUCAUUUGCAAAAUGCAUCCCAACUCACUCCAUCCCCUCCCAGCCCCCGGCUGCACAGUGUAAGCUCUGUUCCACGGCUGAGGACCCCGAGGCUCAGAGCCGCUGCUGGGGCUAGUUCAAGAUCCUGGGAUGAGGGGAGAUUCCAGCUCUGACUACCCAGGGGGCCGAUGCCAGGGUUCAGGACUGAAAGAUCCUCAGAGAGGUCUUGGGUUUCGUUUGCUGUUUUUGCUUCCCCAUGAGGAUUAUUUGUCAUCUUUCCAUUUUGGAAAACAAAUCUAAAACCGGCCCCAUGAGCCUUCCCAAGAUUAGCUGCUGCCAAGAGAACAGGCCAGUGUGUGAGGUGAGAGGUGGGACCCUCACCCCACACACANNNNNNNNNNNNNNNNNNNNNNNNNNNNNNNNNNNNNNNNNNNNNNNNNNNNNNNNNNNNNNNNNNNNNNNNNNNNNNNNNNNNNNNNNNNNNNNNNNNACAGGCCAGUGUGUGAGGUGAGAGGUGGGACCCUCACCCCACACACAGGGGACCCUCAAAUCCCCCCACUGCAGCUGUCCUCGUCCCAUCCACCCAGGCUGAGCUGUGACUGGGGAGCCCAGCUGUUCCACGGGCUCAGGAUAAGGGCCGGGGGGGCUGGAUGGACAGGAAGAUUCCAGCAGCCCUUCCAGACAAGCAUCUGGUUUAACGGGACUCUCCAUGGCCCAAAGCAAGAUGUGCAAAGCCGGCUGUCUGCUGGUCCAGCUUCCCACCAGCCAGCCCCGUUGGCUCAUUUAUGCCGGAGCAGCCCAAAUUCAUUAAUAAUGAUUAGUCUCUUCCUCAAGAAGAGGCUCGCAAUCAAAGGGCCAUUAAAAUUAAGUGCUGGAGGAACAUGGUGGGGGGGAGGGGGAGAGGAGGGUGGGAGAUGGGCAGCAGAGCUGGGCAUCAGUACCCCCCGGGACUCUGACACCCCCUCUGCCACAAGACCUUGGGUCAGUCACUCCUCGGCCUCAGUUUCAAGGACACGAGGCUCAGUUUCACCAUGUCUGAAAUGGAGGGGCCGCUGUGACUACCAGGUCAAUGAUAACAUGAGUGGAACUCCCAGCUGGUGAUACCAGCCAAGGGGACAGCCAAGGGUAAGGGACAGUGGCCAGCAUUAAGCUUCUCCUGCUGGGGAAAUCCAGGCCAGGAAAGACUUCCCUUCUGUGCUCACUUACGAUUAAAACAAUUAUUUCUUUUCCAAAUGAAAUGGCCCAAGGAAGCAAUGGCCCAGGGAUCAUUUCGAAAGCUGUCUUCCAGCUCUGUAGGAAGUAUGAACCAGAUCGAAACAAACAAACAAUAAAAGCCCUGAAUGUCCAGGGUCCCAGAUUCAUGUCUCCCCUGUCCCCCACCCCACACUUUCUUGGACUUGCUGGCUCUGGGUCUAGAUUCUGAGUCGCAGAGACGGUGCAGGAAGGAGGAGGCAGGAGACCUUCUAGCCCCCAGUCUGCGCAAACCGCCACAGCUGGGACCCAUCAAGCAUGCCUCCUGUAAAAAUGGUUCUUUUAGCUGGAAGUCAUAAAUCUCCUCUUGUUUUAGUGACAGCUUGAUUGUUGCCUUUGCUUUUGGGAGACACACACAUAGGAAGUGGUCAACCUUCACAGUCACAAGGGGGAAGUCAGUCAAAUGCCAAGAUCAGAAUCUGGUCUGUUAAUCCCCCGGCAGGAUUGUGGAGAGGAGGUCAUGCUGGGGACUGGAGACUCCGCCAGGAUCUCACAAACCCAGAGCAUCACCAAGCCUCAUGCCCAGGAGCGGUCCUGUCCCCACCUGUAGCCUUUGCAUGUUUCUGCUCCAAACCGACUCGGCUGGUCCCAGCAUUUAAUUCUCAAAGGCAACCUGUUACUCUCAUGUCCGUGUUCCUGAAAUGGCCAUCUCCCUGUAUCCCUCAAGAACUGAUAGACAAUUCAGGAGGAAAAAGUUUUUAAAAAUAUAUAUAUAAGAAGGUAAAGAAAUAGAGUCAGAAGAGAAGUGAGAGAAGGGAAGCUGAGAGCAACCAGGGGUGAGGUUAGCUCAGACAGCCCAGCUUAGAGUCCAGGGCACUGGAAAUCGUGGCCCGCAGAUAUGAUUCAGCUUCUUAGCAGCCAUGGUGAAGAGAGAAACAAGAUCCAGCACGUGACUCAUAAGGCCUGUGUCGGCUAAAAAGCAAAACCAUUCCCUUCCCCCUCCAAGGAAAAGGCUUAUUUCUAGUACAAUGAUGUGGAAGAAAUUUGUUCUGGGAACCCAUGGAGAGGCCGCUGUGGACAGAAUGAAUGAACACUGUCCCCAGGAAGAUCCUAACAGUAAAUCCAGCAACUGGUUUCCUAAGGCUGUUUCUUAUAACUCUUCUCUUUUUUAAUAUAAACUUAUUUAUUUUAAUUAGAGGUUAAUUACUUUACAAUAACUCUUCUUUAAAAAAAAAUUAUUUAUUAAUUUAUUUGGCUGUACCAGGUCUUAAUUGCAGCACACGGAAUCUUGGAUCUUCACUGCAGUAUGCAGGAUUUUUAGUUGCAGCUUGUGAACUCUUAGUCGCAUCUUGUGGGAUCUAGUUCCCUGAGCAGGGAUGGAAACGUAGGCCGCUGCAUUGGGAGCGCAGACUCUUAGUCCCUGGACCACCAUGGAAGUCUCCAAGUAAACCUUCUUGAUGAAGGCCCAGAGUAUAAGGCUGAGCGCCAGUUUAGUAAAAACGGUGAAUUCCUGGGGAAUCCUCCAAGGUUAAGUGCUACAAAAUACCUGUUCAGAUAGAGAUUACGAAGAAUUAGCAGUUAAGUGGUGGAAGUGGUCCAUAAUGAGUGUGUGCGAUUGGGAGAUACGCAAAUUUUUACCUCUGUGCUUCCUGCAAGUUGACAGCUGGAUCCAGAGGUUUGAUCAGAUUUGAAUUCAAUCCCUUUGCCUCGAUUCUCGAUGGGUUUGUGAAACAC
ensembl:lncRNA